rnacentral:rRNA from 1 species
GAUGAACGCUGGCGGCGUGCUUAACACAUGCAAGUCGAGCGAUGGAGUUUCCUUCGGGAAACGGAUUAGCGGCGGACGGGUGAGUAACACGUGGGUAACCUGCCUCAUAGAGUGGAAUAGCCUUCCGAAAGGAAGAUUAAUACCGCAUAAUGUUGAAAGAUGGCAUCAUCAUUUAACCAAAGGAGCAAUCCGCUAUGAGAUGGACCCGCGGCGCAUUAGCUAGUUGGUGGGGUAACGGCUUACCAAGGCGACGAUCAGUAGCCGGCCUGAGAGGGUGAACGGCCACAUUGGGACUGAGACACGGCCCAA